CCUACGGGAGGCAGCAGUGGGGGAUAUUGCACAAUGGGGGGAACCCUGAUGCAGCGACGCCGCGUGGGUGAAGGAGUGCUUCGGCAUGUAAAGCCCUAUCGGCAGGGAAGAAGCAAGACGGUACCUGACUCAGAAGCCCCGGCUAACUACGCGCCAGCAGCCGCGGUAAUACGGAGGGGGCGAGCGUUAUCCGGAUUCACUGGGUGUAAAGGGAGCGUAGACGGCCAUGCAAGCCAGGGGUGAAAGGCCGGGGCCCAACCCCGGGACUGCCCUUGGAACUGCAUGGCUGGAGUGCGGGAGGGGUAGGCGGAAUUCCUGGUGUAGCGGUGAAAUGCGUAGAUAUCAGGAGGAACACCGGCGGCGAAGGCGGCCUGCUGGACCGCGACUGACGUUGAGGCUCGAAAGCGUGGGGAGCGAACAGGAUUAGAUACCCGAGUAGUC
rnacentral:rRNA from 1 species